rnacentral:rRNA from 1 species
UACGUAGGGCGCAAGCGUUGUCCGGAAUUAUUGGGCGUAAAGAGCUCGUAGGCGGCCUGUUGCGUCCGCUGUGAAAUCCCGGGGCUUAACCCCGGGCGUGCAGUGGAUACGGGCAGGCUGGAGGCAGGCAGGGGAGAACGGAAUUCCUGGUGUAGCGGUGAAAUGCGCAGAUAUCAGGAGGAACACCGGUGGCGAAGGCGGUUCUCUGGGCCUGUACUGACGCUGAGGAGCGAAAGCGUGGGGAGCGAACAGG